rnacentral:rRNA from 1 species
AAUCCAUAGGUUAAUGAGGCGAACCGGGGGAACUGAAACAUCUAAGUACCCCGAGGAAAAGAAAUCAACCGAGAUUCCCCCAGUAGCGGCGAGCGAACGGGGAGGAGCCCAGAGCCUGAAUCAGCAUGUGUGUUAGUGGAAGCGUCUGGAAAGGCGCGCGAUACAGGGUGACAGCCCCGUACACAAAAGCGCAUGUGUUGUGAGCUCGAUGAGUAGGGCGGGACACGUGGUAUCCUGUCUGAAUAUGGGGGGACCAUCCUCCAAGGCUAAAUACUCCUGACUGACCGAUAGUGAACCAGUACCGUGAGGGAAAGGCGAAAAGAACCCCGGCGAGGGGAGUGAAAAAGAACCUGAAACCGUGUACGUACAAGCAGUGGGAGCACCCUUUUGGGUGUGACUGCGUACCUUUUGUAUAAUGGGUCAGCGACUUAUAUUCUGU